rnacentral:rRNA from 1 species
GAUUUCUGGUUUGAUAUGCCUGGCCCGCCACGGUUACGUGUGUGAGUGCCGGUGCGUGUCUGCCAUCCUUCUGGACAUCCCCGUGUCUACCCUUCACUGGGCCGGAUGCGGGGGCAUUCCAGAUCUUUUACUUUGAAAAAAUUAGAGUGUUUAAAGCAGGCUUUUUGCUAUGAAUACAUUAGCAUGGAAUAAUAAUUUAGGACUUUGGCCCUAUUUUGUUGGUUUCUAGGACUGAAGUAAUGAUUGAUAGGGAUAGUUGGGGGUGCUCGAAUUCAGCGGCCAGAGGUGAAAUUCUUGGAUUCGCUGAAGACGAACUCAUGCGAAAGCAUU